UACGGGGGGGGGCAAGCGUUGUUCGGAAUUACUGGGCGUAAAGGGCUCGUAGGUGGCCAACUAAGUCAGACGUGAAAUCCCUCGGCUUAACCGGGGAACUGCGUCUGAUACUGGAUGGCUUGAGUUCGGGAGAGGGAUGCGGAAUUCCAGGUGUAGCGGUGAAAUGCGUAGAUAUUCUGGAGGAACACCGGUGGCGAAGGCGGCAUCCUGGACCGACACUGACACUGAGGAGCGAAAGCCAGGGGAGCAAACGGGG
rnacentral:rRNA from 1 species